UACGGGGGGGGGCAAGCGUUGUUCGGAAUUACUGGGCGUAAAGGGCUCGUAGGUGGCCAACUAAGUCAGACGUGAAAUCCCCAGGCUUAACCUGGGAACUGCGUCGGAUACUGGAUGGCUUGAAUUCGGGAGAGGGAUGCAGAAUUCCAGGUGUAGCGGUGAAAUGCGUAGAUAUCUGGAGGAAUACCGGUGGCGAAGGCGGCAUCCUGGACCGGCAUUGACGCUGAGGAGCGAAAGCUAGGGGAGCAAACGGGG
rnacentral:rRNA from 1 species